UGAGGAAUAUUGCGCAAUGGGCGAAAGCCUGACGCAGCGACGCCGCGUGGAGGAUGACGGCCUUCGGGUUGUAAACUCCUGUCAGUGGGGAAGAGAUAGGACGGUACCCACUGAGGAAGCUUCGGCUAACUACGUGCCAGCAGCCGCGGUAAGACGUAGGGAGCAAGCGUUGUCCGGAAUUACUGGGCGUAAAGAGCUCGUAGGCGGGAGCGUAAGUCUGAAAGGAAAUCUCAAGGCUCAACUUUGGGGC
rnacentral:rRNA from 1 species